UGCCAGUGAAUAUGACUGUCGGCAUUUAAUUUUUUAUUACAUCAUAGAGCAUAAGAAAGACUAAUGCUGAUCUUGGUGACAGUAGCUCUCAGUUUCUUCAUCUGAAAAAUGAGGGGCUUGAAAUAGUUGACAAAUCUUUGUUCAGUUCAGUUACAGUAAAUUAAUCCUAAACUCCAUUCUGGCUCUAAAUAGUAUGAUUUUGAACAUUUUCUUAAGAAAUAUUUUAAUCCGAUAUGUAGGACAUGAUUUUUGUUUCUCCUUAGGAAAAUAUUUUGUAAGUUGCCUCUGGGAAUUGUCUCCUUUCCUCACUCUACUGAGUGAGCGAGUAGACAGUAGCUGUAAUGAUAGCUUCCUUCCUUUUUCUUUUUCCUGUCUUCUAAAAUACAGGACAUAGCUCGCUUUUGUAACCCGAAUUGGUAAUAAAUCAGGGCAUGGGAGGUGUAAGCAAAGGAAAUAGUAGGGAGAAUGUUUUGAUAUUGUCUGUGCAUUCAUUUACUCAUCCAUUCAUUCAUUUCAGAGAUAUUUACUGAGCAUCUAUUUAUUGAACACCCGCACGCCAGCCCUGUGCUAAGUGCUGGAAAUAAAGGAAGUUUCCAGGCAGAUACAAUCACUGCCCUCAUGGAACUUUUAAAGUAGUGAAGAAGAUAAACAUUAAUAAUUGUGUGAUUAUUGUUACAAAAUGAAACAUGCUGUAUAUUUUAAAGAGAUUAUGAUUUACCCGAUCCAUGGAAAAAAAGCAACAGAUUCAGGAUCUAGCAACAAAGCAGCAUAGAUUUUUAAACAGUCAGUAUAAAUAAUGUGUUCUUCCCCUGAAGCCCUAACAACGAUUAAUGUCUGCCACUUGAGCAAGAUGCCUGAUGUCAACAUGAAGUCCUACGUGUCAGAGUGUCUCUAGCCACAAAUUAAGUCACACACCCCAGAGAGGUGUCUAGCGGGGAGAAUGCUAUCAUCAUGAGUAGCUGAAUCAGGAAUUACCCCUGAGUCUUCAGAAUAGUGGUCUCCUUGGUGAAGUGGUUGCCCAGACAGAAUGUUUCUUGGCAGUAAGGAGUAAAGGGCCGUGCUGUCUGAUCACCAUCCCACAGGACAUCAGAGCAUUUAGGAGGGAGGCUAUCGCUGUGAUGAGUAGCCUCAAUAUGCUGCAG